ACACUCCUGCGGGAGGCAGCAGUGGGGAAUAUUGGACAAUGGGCGCAAGCCUGAUCCAGCCAUGCCGCGUGAGUGAUGAAGGCCCUAGGGUUGUAAAGCUCUUUCACCGGUGAAGAUAAUGACGGUAACCGGAGAAGAAGCCCCGGCUAACUUCGUGCCAGCAGCCGCGGUAAUACGAAGGGGGCUAGCGUUGUUCGGAUUUACUGGGCGUAAAGCGCACGUAGGCGGACUAUUAAGUCAGGGGUGAAAUCCCGGGGCUCAACCCCGGAACUGCCUUUGAUACUGGUAGUCUUGAGUUCGGGAGAGGUGAGUGGAAUUCCGAGUGUAGAGGUGAAAUUCGUAGAUAUUCGGAGGAACACCAGUGGCGAAGGCGGCUCACUGGCUCGAUACUGACGCUGAGGUGCGAAAGCGUGGGGAGCAAACAGGAUUAGAUACCCUAGUAGUCCCAU
rnacentral:rRNA from 1 species